rnacentral:rRNA from 1 species
GAUGAACGCUGGCGGCGUGCCUAAUACAUGCAAGUCGAGCGAACAGACGAGGAGCUUGCUCCUCUGACGUUAGCGGCGGACGGGUGAGUAACACGUGGAUAACCUACCUAUAAGACUGGGAUAACUUCGGGAAACCGGAGCUAAUACCGGAUAAUAUAUUGAACCGCAUGGUUCAAUAGUGAAAGACGGUUUUGCUGUCACUUAUAGAUGGAUCCGCGCCGCAUUAGCUAGUUGGUAAGGUAACGGCUUACCAAGGCAACGAUGCGUAGCCGACCUGAGAGGGUGAUCGGCCACACUGGAACUAGGACACGGUCCAGACUCCUACGGGAGGCAGCAGUAGGGAAUCUUCCGCAAUGGGCGAAAGCCUGACGGAGCAACGACGCGUGAGUGAUGAGGGUCUUCGGAUCGUAAAACUCUGUUAUUAGGGAAGAACAAAUGUGUAAGUAACUAUGCACGUCUUGACGGUACCUAAUCAGAAAGCCACGGCUAACUACGUG